rnacentral:rRNA from 1 species
CCUACGGGUGGCAGCAGUCGAGAAUCAUUCACAAUGGGGGGAACCCUGAUGCAGCGACGCCGCGUGGGUGAAGGAGUAUUUCGGUAUGUAAAGCCCUAUCAGCAGGGAAGAACAAUGACGGUACCUGACUAAGAAGCACCGGCUAAAUACGUGCCAGCAGCCGCGGUAAUACGUAGGGUGCAAGCGUUAUCCGGAUUUACUGGGUGUAAAGGGAGCGCAGGCGGCGCGUUAAGCCUGGUGUGAAAGCCCGCGGCCCAACCGCGGGACUGCAUUGGGAACUGGCGCGCUGGAGUGCCGGAGGGGUAGGCGGAAUUCCUAGUGUAGCGGUGAAAUGCGUAGAUAUUAGGAGGAACACCAGUGGCGAAGGCGGCUUACUGGACAGUAACUGACGUUGAGGCUCGAAAGCGUGGGGAGCAAACAGGAUUAGAUACCCUGGUAGUC